rnacentral:tRNA from 1 species
GCCUGGCUGGCUCAGUCAGUAGAGUAUCUGACUUCAGCUGAGGUCAUGAUAUCACGGUUUGUGGGUUUGAGCCCCACAUCGGGCU